rnacentral:rRNA from 1 species
GAUGAACGCUGGCGGCGUGCCUAAUACAUGCAAGUCGAGCGAACAGACGAGGAGCUUGCUCCUCUGACGUUAGCGGCGGACGGGUGAGUAACACGUGGAUAACCUACCUAUAAUACUGGGAUAACUUCGGGAAACCGGAGCUAAUACCGGAUAAUAUAUUGAACCGCAUGGUUCAAUAGUGAAAGACGGUUUUGCUGUCACUUAUAGAUGGAUCCGCGCCGCAUUAGCUAGUUGGUAAGGUAACGGCUUACCAAGGCAACGAUGCGUAGCCGACCUGAGAGGGUGAUCGGCCACACUGGAACUGAGACACGGACCAGACUCCUACGGGAGGCAGCAGUAGGGAAUCUUCCGCAAUGGGCGAAAGCUUGACGGAGCAACGCGGCGUGAGUGAUGAAGGUCUUCGGAUCGUAAAACUCUGUUAUUAGGGAAGAACAAAUGUGUAAGUAACUAUGCACGUCUUGACGGUACCUAAUCAGAAAGCCACGGCUAACUACGUG